ensembl:lncRNA
AAGGCUUUCUAGCUCUCCUUUUCCCAUUUCUGCUCUGUCACCACGAGGAAGAAGAGAUGAUGGGAGUCGGAGCUGAGAAAACAGAGAAAGGAGGGGGGCUGGAGUCAGUGAGGGAAGAGGAGAGUGCGAGGACACGACUGCUGCUCUUCAUGUUGGAUUCAAACAACAAAUGCAGAGGACCCCAUUUCACCCAGAUGGAGAACCAAUCAGGAAAUAAAGAGGAUAAAAGGAGAGAUGAAGAAGGGCUGAAGAUCGCCUUGUACUCACCACCGGCUGGCUUACUCACAGAUAGUCAUGUACAUGCAGUACCACACAGUACCACACAGUACCCCAUACACACACAAGUAGAGAGUGAGAAAACAUUUAGUAUGACAAAAGUGAGACAAUAUUGAGAGAAGCAAUUAAAAGUUGUUUAGCUCUUUUAUCUGAGUUGGUAUUAAGGGGCAGACGAUGACUCUCUAUAUUAUUACCGAUAGAUUUCUCCUCCAGUCCUCUUACCAAUAGAUGUCUCCUCCUGUCCUCUUACCAAUAUAAAUCUCCUCCUGAGCCCCAUUUAUAGCAGGUCUUUUCUGACCAAAUUUCAUCAUACCAAAAUGUAUCUGGGGCUGUCCAGUCUCAACAACUCCCAAUGGAUUUAGGAGAGUUGAAGAUCAUGGCAUGCCUUACUCCUGGGCAUCCAUGCCUGUCCAUUCUUUAAUACACACAGCUUUGUGCUACAGAAUAGCGAUUAUGAUCACUGCACUACCUGGGAGGCCCUAAGAUGUGUUUUUUGUCCUUUUAGUGUCCACAUUCUGAUUGGGCCAAAAUGUUUUAUCAGGCAUGCAUGGGUAUCUUAAAUGUAGACCAAUCUGAACAGUGAGACUAUUUAAAAUAAUUUACAGAUGGAAACAUUGACUUAUACCAGCAAUGUGUCCGACAAUAUUUUUUUUAAAGCUGUUAAAAAAAAUUCAUACUGAGAGGGACCGGGAAAUCUGGUCACAACGUAGAUGGAUAAAAUACAUUUGAAUACAAUGUAUUAAUACCAUCUGAAAGAACUGACCCAAUUACAAUGUGAACAAGAUCAGGACAUGCAGUAUGAUCCCUGUGUUAGAUCCAAUGUAAACGUGGC